GUGGCCGUGACUUAGUGGAACGUGGGAGGGACCGUGCGCUCUCCCGGAUUCCACCUCACUCCUGCCCCUGCGCCCCGCACACGUGCGCGGAUGCACACGCGCAACACACACAUGGCGUCUUCACCCUUGGGCCUCCAGCCGGCGCCUCCUAUGCCUCUGUCUCCAAGACCGCUCAGGGAAGCGACUAAUUAACGGGUCACACUGAGGUGUGAAUGUAUGAGAAGUUACGCUUCUAUCUGUGCCAGAAAUAAUUGCUUUUAAAGAACUUUCAACCACCUUGAGUGAAAGGAAACCGUCGUGGCGUGAGAUCAGGCAAGGACCACAUCUUGUCCUUUUGUUUGCUGGCUUUACCCUGGGCCCGAGACUAAAGUAACCGUCUAGAAUCUCACCAGGUAAAGAAUCUGAGGCUCAGAGGAGUUUUCCACACCCUUCCUAGCGGCAGAACCAGGAUCAGGUUGCCUAGAAAAAUAAUGAAUUUUCCAUCCUCAAGAAGUCUCUACCCAGAUGUUCCUGAUUAGAAGUUGUUUAUGUAGCCUCUUGGAAGAUGGCGAUCGAGCUGUCCAGUGCACCUCAUAUCAGGCAGUGGCUCCUUUGCGAGUGAACCUUCAUAUUGACCCCCUCCCCAACUGCACCACCAUUUCCCGCCUCUUUUCUUCUCCCUGGCACUACCUUUCUAAAUAAAGUCCUUGGACAUAA